UGUUUCGGCUAGGGGGCCAUCCCGGCUUACCAACCCGAUGCAAACUGCGAAUACCGGAGAAUGUUAUCACGGGAGACACACGGCGGGUGCUAACGUCCGUCGUGAAGAGGGAAACAACCCAGACCGCCAGCUAAGGUCCCAAAGUCAUGGUUAAGUGGGAAACGAUGUGGGAAGGCCCAGACAGCCAGGAUGUUGGCUUAGAAGCAGCCAUCAUUUAAAGAAAGCGUAAUAGCUCACUGGUCGAGUCGGCCUGCGCGGAAGAUGUAACGGGGCUAAACCAUGCACCGAAGCUGCGGCAGCGACGCUGAUGCGUUGUUGGGUAGGGGAGCGUUCUGUAAGCCUGCGAAGGUGGCCUGUGAGGGUUGCUGGAGGUAUCAGAAGUGCGAAUGCUGACAUAAGUAACGAUAAAGCGGGUGAAAAGCCCGCUCGCCGGAAGACCAAGGGUUCCUGUCCAACGUUAAUCGGGGCAGGGUGAGUCGACCCCUAAGGCGAGGCCGAAAGGCGUAGUCGAUGGGAAACGGGUUAAUAUUCCCGUACUUGGUGUUACUGCGAAGGGGGGACGGAGAAGGCUAUGUUGGCCGGGCGACGGUUGUCCCGGUUUAAGCGUGUAGGUGUGUGUUCCAGGUAAAUCCGGUUCACUUUAACACUGAGGCGUGAUGACGAGGCACUACGGUGCUGAAGCAACAAAUGCCCUGCUUCCAGGAAAAGCCUCUAAGCAUCAGGUAACAUCAAAUCGUACCCCAAACCGACACAGGUGGUCAGGUAGAGAAUACCAAGGCGCUUGAGAGAACUCGGGUGAAGGAACUAGGCAAAAUGGUGCCGUAACUUCGGGAGAAGGCACGCUGACACGUAGGUGAAGUGAUUUACUCAUGGAGCUGAAGUCAGUCGAAGAUACCAGCUGGCUGCAACUGUUUAUUAAAAACACAGCACUGUGCAAACACGAAAGUGGACGUAUACGGUGUGACGCCUGCCCGGUGCCGGAAGGUUAAUUGAUGGGGUCAGCGCAAGCGAAGCUCCUGAUCGAAGCCCCGGUAAACGGCGGCCGUAACUAUAACGGUCCUAAGGUAGCGAAAUUCCUUGUCGGGUAAGUUCCGACCUGCACGAAUGGCGUAAUGAUGGCCAGGCUGUCUCCACCCGAGACUCAGUGAAAUUGAACUCGCUGUGAAGAUGCAGUGUACCCGCGGCAAGACGGAAAGACCCCGUGAACCUUUACUAUAGCUUGACACUGAACAUUGAGCCUUGAUGUGUAGGAUAGGUGGGAGGCUUUGAAGUGUGGACGCCAGUCUGCAUGGAGCCGACCUUGAAAUACCACCCUUUAAUGUUUGAUGUUCUAACGUGGACCCGUGAUCCGGGUUGCGGACAGUGUCUGGUGGGUAGUUUGACUGGGGCGGUCUCCUCCUAAAGAGUAACGGAGGAGCACGAAGGUUGGCUAAUCCUGGUCGGACAUCAGGAGGUUAGUGCAAUGGCAUAAGCCAGCUUGACUGCGAGCGUGACGGCGCGAGCAGGUGCGAAAGCAGGUCAUAGUGAUCCGGUGGUUCUGAAUGGAAGGGCCAUCGCUCAACGGAUAAAAGGUACUCCGGGGAUAACAGGCUGAUACCGCCCAAGAGUUCAUAUCGACGGCGGUGUUUGGCACCUCGAUGUCGGCUCAUCACAUCCUGGGGCUGAAGUAGGUCCCAAGGGUAUGGCUGUUCGCCAUUUAAAGUGGUACGCGAGCUGGGUUUAGAACGUCGUGAGACAGUUCGGUCCCUAUCUGCCGUGGGCGCUGGAGAACUGAGGGGGGCUGCUCCUAGUACGAGAGGACCGGAGUGGACGCAUCACUGGUGUUCGGGUUGUCAUGCCAAUGGCACUGCCCGGUAGCUAAAUGCGGAAGAGAUAAGUGCUGAAAGCAUCUAAGCACGAAACUUGCCCCGAGAUGAGUUCUCCCUGAGACUUUAGGUCUC
rnacentral:rRNA from 1 species